GAAUAUUGGACAAUGGGGGGAACCCUGAUCCAGCCAUGCCGCGUGUGUGAAGAAGGCCCUUUGGUUGUAAAGCACUUUAAGCGAGGAGGGGGCUUCUCUAGUUAAUACCUAGAGAUAGUGGACGACACUCGCAGAAUAAGCACCGUCUAACGCUGUGCCAGCAGCCGCGGUAAUACAGAGGGUGCAAGAGUUAAUCGGAUUUACUGGGCGUAAAGGCCUCUUAAUUGCGCAAGUAAAUCACCGCUCGAAUCCCCGAGCUUAACUUGAGAAUUGCAGUCGAUACUGGUUGGCUAGAUUAUGGGAACGAAUUAUCUACUUCCUUGUCUCUCUAUACCCUUCGUCGCUAUCUUCAUCCCUCCCUCUCACUACCACCUCCAUCUGUCCUAAUACUGACACUGAGGUGCGAAAGCAUGGGGAGCAAAC
rnacentral:rRNA from 1 species